ACGGCGAGUGAAGCGGCAACAGCUCAAAUUUGAAAUCUGGCUUUCGGGCCCGAGUUGUAAUUUGUAGAGGAUACUUUUGAUGCGGUGCCUUCCGAGUUCCCUGGAACGGGACGCCAUAGAGGGUGAGAGCCCCGUCUGGUUGGAUGCCAAAUCUCUGUAAAGUUCCUUCGACGAGUCGAGUAGUUUGGGAAUGCUGCUCUAAAUGGGAGGUAUAUGUCUUCUAAAGCUAAAUAUUGGCCAGAGACCGAUAGCGCACAAGUAGAGUGAUCGAAAGAUGAAAAGCACUUUGAAAAGAGAGUUAAAAAGUACGUGAAAUUGUUGAAAGGGAA
rnacentral:rRNA from 1 species